rnacentral:pre_miRNA from 1 species
UCAACCCAUUUUACCUUCUAACCCAUCAAAUUAAAUGAGUUCAUGGGUUGACUCAACUCAUUUGCUUAAAUGAGUUGAGUCAACCCAUGAACUCAUUUAACUCUAAACUCAUUGGGUAAUGAGU